UACGGAGGGUGCGAGCGUUAAUCGGAAUUACUGGGCGUAAAGCGCGCGUAGGCGGUUUGAUAAGCUGGAUGUGAAAUCCCCGGGCUCAACCUGGGAACUGCAUCCAGAACUGUCUGACUAGAGUACAGUAGAGGGUGGCGGAAUUUCCUGUGUAGCGGUGAAAUGCGUAGAUAUAGGAAGGAACAUCAGUGGCGAAGGCGGCCACCUGGACUGAUACUGACGCUGAGGUGCGAAAGCGUGGGGAGCAAACAGG
rnacentral:rRNA from 1 species